rnacentral:tRNA from 1 species
ACCUUCGUAGUGUAAUUAGAAACACACUGAACGCAUAUUCGAGAGGUCCAGGUUCGAAUCCUGGCAAAGGCA